rnacentral:rRNA from 1 species
GGUGAGUAACACGUAAGGUAACCUGCCCCUUGACUUUGGGAUCACCUUCCAGGAAACUGGGGGCUAAUACGGGAUAGGAGCUUCAUGCCGCAUGGUGGGGGUUGGAAAGUUUCGGCGGUUGGGGAUGUACUCGCGGCUUAUCAGCUUGUUGGUGGGGUAGUGGCUUACCAAGGCUUUGACGGGUAGCCGGCCUGAGAGGGUGACCGGCCACAUUGGGACUGAGAUACGGCCCAGACUCCUACGGGAGGCAGCAGUGGGGAAUAUUGCACAAUGGGCGGAAGCCUGAUGCAGCAACGCCGCGUGCGGGAUGACGGCCUUCGGGUUGUAAACCGCUUUCGCCUGUGACGAAGCGUGAGUGACGGUAAUGGGUAAAGAAGCACCGGCUAACUACGUGCCAGCAGCCGCGGUGAUACGUAGGGUGCGAGCGUUGUCCGGAUUUAUUGGGCGUAAAGGGCUCGUAGGUGGUUGAUCGCGUCGGAAGUGUAAUCUUGGGGCUUAACCCUGAGCGUGCUUUCGAUACGGGUUGACUUGAGGAAGGUAGGGGAGAAUGGAAUUCCUGGUGGAGCGGUGGAAUGCGCAGAUAUCAGGAGGAACACCAGUGGCGAAGGCGGUUCUCUGGGCCUUUCCUGACGCUGAGGAGCGAAAGCGUGGGGAGCGAACAGGCUUAGAUACCCUGGUAGUCCACGCUGUAAACGGUGGGUACUAGGUGUGGGGUCCAUUCCACGGGUUCCGUGCCGUAGCUAAC